AUACGUAGGGGGCGAGUGUUGUCCGGGAUGUUUGGGCGUAAAGGGCGCGUAGGCGGCCUGUUAAGUCUGGAGUGAAAGUCCUGUUUUCAAGAUGGGAAUUGCUUUGGAUACUGAUGGGCUUGAGUGCAGGAGAGGUUAUCGGAAUUCCCGGUGUAGCGGUGAAAUGCGUAGAGAUCGGGAGGAACACCAGUGGCGAAGGCGGGUAACUGGACUGCAACUGACGCUGAGGCGCGAAAGUGUGGGGAGCAAACAGGAUUAGAUACCCUGGUAGUCCACACUGUAAACGAUUAAUGCUAGGUGUAAGAGGUAUCGACCCCUUUUGUGCCGGAGUUAACACAAUAAGCAUUCCGCCUGGGGAGUACGGCCGCAAGGUUGAAACUCAAAUGAAUUGACGGGG
rnacentral:rRNA from 1 species